GCUCUGAACUCCAGUCUGAUUUCCGAGAGAUACAGAAAAGAGAGAGUGAGAGAGAGAGCAAGAGAAAUACUGUACCCUAAUGCAGAGGGGAGAAGAGGAGAAAAUGUGUGCUGAAGGAGCUAUGCUUGGUAAAGGAAACAGGGACUCUUCCAUGGACUGGAUUGAGCUAUGUCCAUCUGAACCUUAUGACCUGCUGCUAAAGGCUUUCCACAUUUUGGUGAAUCUUCAAUCAACUGGUGGAGACUUCAUUGUUACCUUUACUAACCCACAUGGGUUAUUCUAACCUGCCACAUGGACAGGGAAAAUUGAUCUUCUAAAGGCCUUUGAGCUGGCUAUCCAAGAGAGAAUGAAGAACAAGAUGGAAGCAGAAGUGGCAAGUGGAUAAGCAAGUUACAGAUGUAGAUGUGGAUUUGGACAUCUGAUCUCUGGAUAGUCCCGAGGUCGGCAAAAGAGCAUACAGUACCCAGCACUUGAAGAUGUAAAUCAUGUUAUAUGCUACCAGAAAAGCAGUGGAUUCAUUUUGCUUCACCAAGCUCUAAGAUAUGGUUCUCAAAAAGGGAUGUACAAAAGAUCAACUUUCUGCACCAUCUCCAUUAAGUCCACGACAGAGAAACAAUUGAAGAAACAGAUUCAGCGAGUUUAGGUUUCUGUCAAUGCCAUUAACACUGUCUUUGGAGUCAACUCAAAAGCUCGCAAUUUGAAUGGCUGAGGUUAGCAUUGCUUUGUACUGCAAGUGAAUGCAAAAAUAAGACAAUGGAGAUGAAGCCUGGGAAGCAGCAGAUGCUAACAACGCCAGCUUGAAAUGAAGAAGUCAAGCAUUUCCGCCACUUAAAUUUCACAGUGUAUGAUGAGGUUUCAAUAACAAACUGUAUGUUAGAGGUUCACAAUGGCCUGUUCAACAUCCAUGUACAGUAAAUAAAGAGAACUGGAAAAGAAAUAAACACACGCACAAAAGCCAAGCUGAUAGAAGAUCUAAUUUGGGCAAUUGUUAUAGAUGGAUGGGUGUGAAAGCUAAAUGGGAAUGGAAAGCCGGACUUGUAUGGCAGCAGGUAAGAUAAGGUCUGAAGCAUUUGAUAUACAGUACAGUUGUCAGUGAUAUAAGGAAAGAUCACUCAUUCAA